CAGCCGCCGCGGGAAUACGUAGGUCCCGAGCGUUGUCCGGAUUUAUUGGGCGUAAAGCGAGCGCAGGCGGUUUGAUAAGUCUGAAGUUAAAGGCUGUGGCUCAACCAUAGUUCGCUUUGGAAACUGUUUAACUUGAGUGCAAGAGGGGAGAGUGGAGUUCCAUGUGUAGCGGUGAAAUGCGUAGAUAUAUGGAGGAACACCGGUGGCGAAAGCGGCUCUCUGGCUUGUAACUGACGCUGAGGCUCGAAAGCGUGGGGAGCAAACAGGAUUAGAUACCCGCGUAGUCCCUGUCUCUUAUACA
rnacentral:rRNA from 1 species